rnacentral:rRNA from 1 species
CCCUUAGAUGUUCUGGGCCGCACGCGCGCUACACUGACGAAUUCAACGAGCUUAUAACCUUGGCCGAAAGGUCUAGGUAAUCUCCAAAUUUCGUCGUGAUGGGGAUAGAUUAUUGCAAUUAUUAAUCUUCAACGAGGAAUGCCUAGUAAGCGCAAGUCAUCAGCUUGCGUUGAUUACGUCCCUGCCCUUUGUACACACCGCCCGUCGCUCCUACCGAUUGAAUGGUCCGGUGAAGCGUUCGGACCGUGGCCUUUGGACGGUUCGCCGUCUGUUGGCUGCGGGAAGUUCGUUAAACCUUAUCAUUUAGAGGAAGGAGAAGUCGUAACA